CCCGCAACGAGCGCAACCCUUAAGCUUAGUUGCCAUCAUUAAGUUGGGCACUCUAAGUUGACUGCCGGUGACAAACCGGAGGAAGGUGGGGAUGACGUCAAAUCAUCAUGCCCCUUAUGAUUUGGGCUACACACGUGCUACAAUGGACAAUACAAAGGGCAGCGAAACCGCGAGGUCAAGCAAAUCCCAUAAAGUUGUUCUCAGUUCGGAUUGUAGUCUGCAACUCGACUACAUGAAGCUGGAAUCGCUAGUAAUCGUAGAUCA
rnacentral:rRNA from 1 species